rnacentral:antisense_RNA from 1 species
GCAUUUUACUCAACUUUUUCACAACGACAUUGCUCACAUUGCUUCCAGUUUAGCUGGCCAACUCAUUUGAGUUGGCCUUUUUUU